AUGUAUGCAAUACUCGUUCUUGCAUAUGGAGGUGGGAAAGAGAGGUUCACUAAUUGUCCUCCGAGAAGUGCAUUUUCAACAAAUUGGUUAUUCAAGUGUACGAUGGAUCGGAAGACAAAGAGAUUUCGAGUAGUUUCAGAGGACAUAUGUACAACAGAGGAUAGGAUUAGCAAGACAGAAGACUUUCGAUACAUGUUUGUACUUCGUUUAUACUGUGAAUGUACAGUCUUUGCUCUCUUUUUUAAAAUUUUGUAUUCAUUUAGGAAGUAUCGACUUUAUUCAGGAUGGAUUUGUGUAUAUGCAAUAUUUAUCAGCUACAGACCAAGUUGUAACCGGCAAGUGAUGAAUAAUAAUAAGAAGAAAAUAACCUUGUUCAUUACUUCAUUUGAUGUAUUCUUUCCUUUAGCUGCUAUUGAAAUGAUUGAAUUCUGUUGUAGCAUUUUUUGUCUAUCAUCAGAUAUAUUGCAGGUAGUUCCUCGCAUUAAACUUCUAUAUUCCUCUGUGGCUUGCUGUGUGGCAUAUCAGUUAUGCUUAGUGGGUAGGCAUUAA
rnacentral:rRNA from 1 species